UACGGCACCUGCUUGGCGAGGAUGGGCCCAAAGCCGGAGUAGAACGCGUUGACGACGCCCUCCUCACCGGCCAUCUUGGUCAUCGCGCCGAGCAUGGACGAGGAGUACGAGGGGUUGGACACGAGGCGAAUGCGGGUGGCCUCGAGCGGGCAGAGGAAGAUGUCGGCGAUGAACUCGGCUGCGGCGGAUGCGCCGAGGUAGAUGGAGUUGCGGUUAUCCCAGGUCUGCUGCGGGGUCAUGGAGUUGGCGGCCUGGAUCUUGAAGUAUUCGACGCCUCCGAACUUGAACCAGCCCUGGACGAAGUAGCCGAAGGCGGUGGGGCCGAGGCCGGUGAGAAGCGCGCCCGCGCCCUCCUCCGCGAUGACCUUGUUGAAGCCCUGCAUCAUGCCGGUGUACUUGGUGGGCUCGAGCUGGAUGCGGGUCUUGACGACGUCCACGGGGGUGAGCGCGCCGUGGGUCACGGAGCAGCAGAUCCCGCCCGCGAGCGCACCCUUGAGGAAGUAGUCCAGACCGUACUCCUGCUGUGACGCGGCCAUGAAACCCGCGGCGGGGUGCUGAAAGGUCAUCGAGGGGGCGAAGCCGCCCGCGGCGGGCGCGGCGCCAGCCUUGGCGGCGACCACCGCGGAGGCGGCGGUGGGGGUGUAAAGGGAGGACGGGA
rnacentral:lncRNA from 1 species